GGGUUUGAUCCUGGCUCAGAACGAACGCUGGCGGCGUGGAUUAGGCAUGCAAGUCGAGCGAGAAAGGGUUCUUCGGAACCUGAGUAAAGCGGCGAAAGGGUGAGUAAUACCUGAAUAACCUACCUCUGAGAGAGGGAUAACGCAUGGAAACGUGUGCUAAUACCUCAUAAGACCACAAAUUCUCGGAUUUGGGGUUAAAGAUAGCCUCUGAUUAAGCUUUUGCUCAGAGAGGGGUUCAGGUCCAAUUAGCUUGUUGGUGGGGUAAUGGCCUACCAAGGCGACGAUUGGUAGCCGGGCUGAGAGGUUGUUCGGCCACACUGGGACUGAGACACUGCCCAGACUCCUUCGGGAGGCUGCAGUCGAGAAUCUUCCGCAAUGCGCGCAAGCGUGACGGAGCGACGCCGCGUGGAUGAUAUGAAGGCCUUCGGGUUGUAAAAUCCACUCGCGUAGGAAGAAACGGUUGAGGUUAAUAGCCUUUGAUCGAGACGUUACUACGGUCGAAGUGCCGGCUAAACACGUGCCAGCAGCCGCGGUAAUACGUGUGGCGCAAGCGUUGUUCGGAAUCAUUGGGCAUAAAGAGCACGUAGGCGGUGUUGUGGGUCGGUUGUGAAAGCCCCCGGCUUAACCGGGGAAAUGCAUCCGAAACUACAAUACUUGAGUAUGGAAGGGGAGAGUGGAAUUCCUGGUGGAACGGUGAAAUGUGUAGAUAUCAGGAAGAACACCGGUGGCGAAGGCGACUCUCUGGUCCAUUACUGACGCCGAGUGUGCGAAAGCUAGGGGAGCAAACAGGACUAGAUACCCUGGUAGUCCUAGCUGUAAACGAUGGGCACUAGGUAGUGGGAGUUAUGACGCUCUCGCUGCUGUAGCAAAUGUAUUAAGUGCCCCGCCUGGGGAGUAUGCUCGCAAGGGUGAAACUCAAAGGAAUUGACGGGGGCUCACACAAGCGGUGGAGCAUGUUGUUUAAUUCGAGGAUACGCGAAGAACCUUACCUGGGUUAGAAAUGUAGGGAUUAACCCUGUGAAAGCAGGGGGAUUGCUCUUCGGAGUGUAACCUACUUCAGGUGCUGCAUGGCUGUCGUCAGCUCGUGUCGUGAGAUGUCGGGUUAAGUCCCAUAACGAGCGAAACCCCUGUCCUUAGUUGCCAGCGAGUAAUGUCGGGGACUCUAGGGAGACUGCCGGUGUUAAACCGUGAGGAAGGUGGGGACGACGUCAAGUCAUCAUGGCCUUUAUAUCCAGGGCUACAAACGUGCUACAAUGGCCGGCACAAUGGGCAGCGAAAUCGCAAGGUGGAGCAAAUCUCAAAAAACCGGCCCCAGUUCAGAUUAGAGGCUGAAAUUCGCCUCUAUGAAGUUGGAAUCGCUAGUAACCGCGUAUCAGCUAUGACGCGGUGAAUGUGUUCCUGAGCCUUGUACACACCGCCCGUCAAGCCAUCCAAGCAGAGCGCACUCGAAAUCGCUGACCUAACCCGCAAGGGGGGGAGGUGCUGAAGGUGAGCUUUGUGAGGAGGACUAAGUCGUAACAAGGUA
rnacentral:rRNA from 1 species